GAUGUAGAACGCAGCGAAAUGCGAUACGUAGUGUGAAUUGCAGAAUUCAGUGAAUCAUCGAAUCUUUGAACGCACAUUGCACCUCUCGGUAUUCCGGGAGGUAUGCCUGUUCGAGCGUCAUUUGUACCCUCAAGCUCUGCUUGGUGUUGGGUGUUUGUUCCGCCUCUGUGUGUGAACUCGCCUCAAAACAAUUGGCAGCCGGCGUACUUGUUUCGGAGCGCAGCACAUUUUGCGAUCCAGAUCAACGUACAGCGGCAUCCAAGAAGCCUUAUUUAACGCUCUUGACCUCGGAUCAGGUAGGGAUACCCGCUGAACUUAAGCAUAUCAAUAAGCGGAGGA
rnacentral:misc_RNA from 1 species